rnacentral:misc_RNA from 1 species
CAUGCAAUCCACAGUGGACGGACAUAAAUGAUAAUUUAUUUGUUGGUCAAAAACCAAAUAAACUGCGCGUGUUGAUUCAAAAAGUUACACCAAAUGAGAUUGAUCGCAUUAUAUCAGCCGAAAUUCCAGAUCCACAAUUAUCCCAAGUUGUUACGAAAAACAUGAUUCACGGCCCAUGCGGUGAACUAAAUUCGCCAUGCAUGAUCGAUGGAAAAUGCUCAAAGCGGUAUCCAAGAGCAUUGAUUUCCGAAACAAUAACAGGCAAUGACGGAAACCCAUCGUAUCGACGUCGGUCACCAGACGAUUUUGGAUAUACAACAACAAUUACAGUUCAUAAUAAAGACACUAUCAUACCAAAAUAUUUGAAGCUCACAUUAACGUUGAAUAUUGUAAUGCAGUGAAGUCAAUCAAAUAUAUAUGCAAAUAUGUCAGCAAGGGAAGCGACAUGGCUGUUUUUGGAGGGACAACAACUGGUGACAAUUGAUAUGAUGAAAUUUCACAAUAUCAAAUGGGACGUUACAUUAGCACUAAUGAAGCUCAUUGGAGAAUUUAUUCAUUUCCAAUGCAUGAGCGAUAUCCUGCUAUGGUUCAUUUGGCUGUUCAUUUGGAAAAUGGACAACGUGUUUAUUUUACUAAUUCAAAUGUGGAGCAGAGAGCGGUACAGCCACCAGCAACAACAUUAAAUGCAUUGUUCCAAUUGUGUGAAAGUAAUUAAUUUGCAGGAACAUUGCUGUUCAUUUGGACUGCAAAAAAAUGGCAACGACAUAAAAGAGAAGUUCCAGUUGAUGGUCAUCCAGGCGUUUUAUAUAAAGAUACUAUGGGAAGGGGAGAUCCAUAUUCUGCAUUCAACUUCCAAGAGGUGUCGGACGACAAACCUUUUUGGUUGCGGUUGAGAUGCAGCACGAUGUCCUUUGCUCUGAUAAUGUGAGCAAACGUUGCAUUUCGUGGUAUGAUGGCCGCUCCUAAAGGACAACAAAAUUAAUUAGUAUUUGUGAUGGCUGAAGAAUUUUUUGACUAUAUAUCAUUAAUCCAGUUGAUGAUUACAAUAGUCGACGAAUACAGAGGACUUCAUUUUGCUUAAUUUGUAGACUCACACAUAUUUUGCUCAUUGUUUUUUUUUUUUUUGUAUUUAUUAAGCACAUUCGCCACCCUACAACCGGUAAACUUCCUUCUGAAUAA